rnacentral:rRNA from 1 species
UACGGAGGGAGCUAGCGUUGUUCGGAAUUACUGGGCGUAAAGCGCACGUAGGCGGCUAUUCAAGUCAGAGGUGAAAGCCCGGGGCUCAACUCCGGAAUUGCCUUUGAAACUAGAUAGCUUGAAUCAUGGAGAGGUGGAGUGGAAUUCCGAGUGUAGAGGUGAAAUUCGUAGAUAUUCGGAAGAACACCAGUGGCGAAGGCGGCUCACUGGACAUGUAUUGACGCUGAGGUGCGGAAACGUGGGGGACAAACAGGGAU